UAGGGCAACAGAAGUCAACAUAAAUGAUGAAACCUGAAACUUGUUCAGGCAACAGCGUGUUGCAGUAUUCAAUACUUACUCUAACUAAGAUGCUGUUUAAAUGAACCAUUGGUUAUAAAUACGACAGAAGGAAAGCAAUCAUCGAUGUGUGACUAAAAUCAGAAAACAAAAGUUCCUGAGUCUCCUGUCAGGACGGACAGAAAGUAAGAGAAACAGAAAAGGUAGAAAUAAAUGCUAUAGCUGUAAUGAAGAGUGCACCGGCUGUACUGUGAGCCUGAAAAGGCUGGAUGAUUAUAUUACUGACAUGCAAAAUUAAAUUAAAAUUUAAAAUAUGAUUAUUCAUCUGUUGUCACAUUUAUAUAAAACAAAAAUACUGCUUGGAUGUACUGCAUAAUCUCUGAAUACAUUGAAAAAGAAAUAAAAAAGUAAAUAUACUUUUUCUAAAAAAGUUGAAACUAACCACCGAGCAGCUGUGGGUGUUCAUGUGAAAUCCCAAAAACCGUAUAUAAGAAAUGGAUGUUGGUAUCGAUCCACGUGUGGACAAAUGAGGCUACUUCUCCGUCCAACAACACCAUUGAACAUUUUCCUGACACCUUUAGUCUACAAAGUGUUUUUUUUUGGAUUAGAUGAUAAUACGAUCCCUUUUAGAGGAAAACGAACGACUCAGCACUGCAGUCCGGUCUGGUUGGUGUUUUCAUGUUAGCUCCUGAUACCACAUGUAAACACUACCAGCUUCACCUGAAUGUGUAAGCACCAUAAAAAACAAAGACAUCACAAGGUGAGACCACUAAAGAACGCUGGGCUCUAACUUUAAACCCUAGAGUUCACUGUGGGGUCACCGGGUCCAAACAAGUGCACACAUGCUAGCAGCGAGCAUCAUUCUGGAAAACACAAGAACAUGUGACCUGAUGCAAGUCGCAAAGUGACCAGUGAGAAGUAGCCUCAUUUUCACACAUAUUUCCAUUAUAUAGCGUUACUUCAAAAACCAGCGCAAAACCUACGGAUGUAUUUCCAUUCCAGCCAUGUCAGUGACUGGAGGGAAAAAUCUAGGGAUGUCC